UCCCUGGUGAUCUAGUGGUUAGGGUGCAGUGUUCUCACCACGACGGCCCGGGUUCGAUUCCCGAGCAGGGAA